rnacentral:rRNA from 1 species
UACAGAGGUCUCAAGCGUUGUUCGGAUUCAUUGGGCGUAAAGGGUGUGUAGGUGGCGCGCUAAGUCGGGUGUGAAAUUUCGGAGCUUAACUCCGAAACUGCAUUCGAUACUGGCGUGCUUGAGGACUGGAGAGGAGACUGGAAUUCAUGGUGUAGCAGUGAAAUGCGCAGAUAUCAGGAGGAACACCGAUGGCGAAGGCAGGUCUCUGGGCCACUACUGACGCUGAGAAGCGAAAGCGUGGGGAGCGAACAGG